AGUUGGUGGUUUAAUCACUGGGAACUCUAGAAAGCUGCUUGAUCUUCCGUGCUUUGAGGAGCUGAUUCAAACUGAAACCUCUUCCAACACGAUUAUCAGCUCGGCGGAACUCAACUACGAAAGCAUGUGCUACUCAUAACCAAUAGGAAAAUGGAGCUGCUUUUAAUCCCAUCAGUGCCAAACUAAUCAAACAGUUUUCCCGCCCUGCAGGACAGUCAAUGAGGGUGCAGAGGGUGCCUGGAAGAGACCGGGAGACAAGAGAUGCGAAGAAGGAUGCCAAGACAAGAGUCUGAUCAAGUGAACUCCUGAAGUCACCAUCUGCAACCUCUCGGUGGCAAUAUGAAGGAGCAGGGUGGGCUGAGCCCUCAGAGUGUUUAUAGCAUUAAUUAGAAACUGGAAGUAGGCGGCAGCACAGGGAGGAGGAGCAAGGCAAGUUCCCAGGACCAGACAUGAAGAGCACCUACCUAACAUUCACUGUGUUAUAUAAACAAAUACAUUUGCAUUGUACUCAGCCA